rnacentral:lncRNA from 1 species
AGGACUCUCUCUAAUCUGAAUUCACUAAAAUUUCUUUCCAAAAAAAUCAACAGCAGCUCCUUUCUUUGCAUCACCAACUCUUGGUGUUUUUCUCACUCCUUUCUUUCCUCUCUUGAACAUGUAAUCCUCUCAUUUCUUAGCCUUCUUAGUGUCCAACCAUUGGACAUUUGGAACCCGCACCCAAGCCCUAUGGAAUCAGCCAUUUUUAGCCUCAAAUCAUGACUCAAAUUUGAAGUCAUGAAAGGUGUCAAAUACCCUUCAACCGCCCAACACUUGGGCAUCAAAAUCAGGCAUGUGAAAUCCAUAUUUGGUGUGUAGGAUGGAGGAGUCCUUCUCUCAGAAGGGCUCCUCCCUUGGUGCAUAUAACCAAAAAGGCGUGAAGCCUCUACUUUUUCAUGGAAUUCAUUUCUGGCAUCCAACAUUUAGAUGCCAAAGAUGGACAUCCAAAAAUCAAUGGCAUGGGCUAAAGGGACUCUCCCAAUUGGCGUGAAACUCUUCCACUUUUUGUAUGAGGGAUGGUGGAAUCCUUCUCUACUUCUAAGAAGUGUGAGGAAGUUUUAAGAUGGGUGCAACUUCAUACUUUCACGUGAAUAGAGGGGGUGCCAAUCAUAAUGUGGCAUGGAGUCUUGUUUCAUGUGUCCAACACUUGAACACCCAAGAUUUAAGGAGCCAUGGACCCAAUUCAUGAUAAACCUUUGAUCAUUCGAAGGUGAUUUGGAGUCCAAUAGAUAUUGUCUUUGACUAAUCAAAGCCCAAUGCUACAAAGAAUCCAAAUUGAUUUGGGAUUAGGGUUUAAACACAUGCUAGCAUACUUGACCUAAACCCAUUAGGAUCAAAUCCAUAUAAAAUUAGGUUCAACAAGAUCAAAUCAAAAAUCCUAAAUCAAUUUUUUUUUGUAUGUGAUUCAUUGAUUUUCACAUCUAUCCAGCAA